ensembl:lncRNA
GUGCUCACUUCACAGAGCUCAAUCCGGAGCCUUGCACUCCUUUGUCUCCGUUGGCCCCGUCCAGCUCUCCUGUGUAUCUUUAUUCCCUGAAAGGUCCGUGCAGCCCUCCUUCAUCAGUUCCAGUGCCCGCUCCUCCAGAUUGCCCCUCAGUGUCCGCUCCUCCUGUUACUUACCUGCUUUUGACGUCUUGAUCUGCUGCCGUUCUGCAAAUUAAACCCAUUGUUGUUGCCACUUACCUGAGUGUUUCCCUUGUGUGUGUUGCUGAGACAUGUAUAGUUAUUGUAUGUUUUAAGGAGCUUUUCAUCCAUUUGCCCACAGUAAUUUUUCUUUCUUUUUUAAGCUUAACCACAGGCUUUGUGAAAUGUUGCUCAUCAAAAGAAGUGUGACAGCAGCUUAUAAUCCUCAAACUAACGGCCUGUAAGAAAAGACCAAUGACAACAUUAAACGGUGUGUUUUAAUAUUUUGUGUAACUACUGUAGGUCAGGAAAAUGUAACCCCCCACGCCAAUGUGACGUUAAAAUACUGUUAACAACAUGCAGUAUACAUCCAUAACCACAUAAGAAAGUGGAACUUUUAAGACAUUUUUACCCAUCUUCCACUUCAAGACACCUAUUAAAUUAUAAAUACUGUUUUAAAAGGUCAUACAUGUUUUUGUAGAAGGUUUGUAAAUCUGGUGUGCAUUUCAUUUUAGAGCCCUCAAGAAAUUGGUUAAUGACCAACAGAAUGACUGGGAUGUCUAUCUGGAUGCCACCUUGUUUUCUUUACGAUCCAAGGUACACACCACCACGAAACACUCCCCUUUUCUUUUAAUGUAUGCUUCAAGAAGAUUCAGCAUUACAAAGACCUUCCGUUAUUCACAUUGCCCCUAAAAAGCUUGACCAAGCACGUGACCACGUCAAGGAGGUAAAAUUAACCCCAACAGAUGAAGAGUCAGCAGUAAAGUUUUCAUCAGAUAUAAAGCGCAUCUCAGAAGAACAAGAAGGUUUUAUAUCUACAGAGAUCUCUGUUUGUCGUUAGUUGCCAGUUUGGUCUACCUGACCAGUUUGGUCUUGGCGUUAUGGUUGCUUGCCUGCAAUGUUUAAAUCAUGGUGACCAUUUUGACCUGUUGGUCACAGGUCACAGUUAUUUAUAGGAAGUGGACAUAAUAACAAAUAAAUCACAAAAUAACACAGCCCCAUAAAUAAGUGAAAAAAGAUCAAAAUGCAUGAACAGAGACUAACAGUAUCAGUUUGUCAAAGCUCAAUAGUAAUCAAAACUCACUAAAAAAGCCUACACAACUUCGGCAACCAAAUUAUAAAAUUUUUCAUCUUUAAUAUGGAUACCAUAAAUUGUUUUUGAGUUAUAUCCACUUCCUCCAGCUGUCCUGAGUAUGUUCAAUAUGAUGACUGUUUGCAAGGGCGUAGGUUUGCAUGUGGAUGGUAAGGACAUUACCAAACCUACGGUCUUGACUGUUUGGCACUGUUUGGCGUUCAUUUUGCACAGUUUAUUUUAUGUUGGCUUAUUGGCCCUGUCAAGUUGAUUAAUUAGAAAAAGUACUGACAACACUAACUUUGUCUUUCUUUUUCAGUAAUGAAGGUCUGGGCUGCCAAUAUCAGCGGUCAGGUAGAAGCAGUUGUAGGGCCAUAUCAGCUCUAUGACUCUUCUUUUUACUCACUGCAAGGGACUGAGUGGCUUUCUGAUGAAGUAAGUGAAAUUUUUUUUUUUUUUUUUACUUUUAUGCCAUGGGUUGUUAAAAUCACUUGUAAACCCAGAACCCAAUUCUAAGAGUCAAUCAACUGAAAAAUAUGUAUUUUUUGUUUUGUUUUUUGUCAAAAAAACACAAACAAAUAGUUUUUCUAUUCAUACAUGUCUUUCUUAAUAUAGGCCAUUGAUGCAUACCUGGCACCUGGUCAUUGAAAAACAACAGGUAUGUAUAGAAUGUAUACUUGAUUAGGAAUACUAAUUUCUUUAUACAUACUUCUAGAUAUUUAGUUGUUUUUUGUUUUUCAGAACCAUGUACACCAUCUUUGUGCAGUUGUUGCAUCAUCAUUGUUUGCUGGACAGUUCAGAUGCCUAAAGAAGGUAAUUUAGCUUUCCAAAAAAAUAAUUAAAGUAAAUAUGAUUUGUUUUGGAACCAUCACAGACCUGUUAUUAAACACUUGUCACAGAUGAAAUUCCCCUCUGAGGACAUUUGGCUGUGCCCUGUGAAGGUUGGAGCACACUGGAUUCUUGUGGUGUGUGUGUAUUUUUUAAGCACAUUGCAGGUGAAGUUAUAUUAUAAAAUAAUUUGGUAACCCUUUCUAUGAAGCCCUUAUUUAUAAUACAUUACAGAGUUAUUAUUAAGGUAUUAUAAUAAAUGCAUAAUGUAUUAUAUAUAUAAAAAAUAUGUCUGCUAAAGAUCAUCUAACACUUAUUUUGAUGAUUCCCCAACAGACAUUCUACUGACUAUAAGCUGACUAUAAACUUAUUCUUCCAAGCCUUACCUUAACCUUAGUCUACUAAUACUCUAAUAAGAGUUAGUUGAUAUGUAGUUGCAAAAUUGAUUAUAGUCAAUAGACUAAGGGGACCAUCAAAAUAAAAUGUAGUGAAUAUAUUUAUAGAUACAUUUAUUUACACAUUUAUAUAUAUGCAAUUAAGACUUGCACUCUUUUCAUUUAACUGCUUGUUUUCUUAAAAAAAAAAACUAGCUUCUGUUAUUUUUCUAUUCUAUCUAUUCCUUUUCUUUUUAUUUAUUAUAUAAUUAACGGAAAUAAGGCCUCUAACACUAGUCUGCUCUAUUCUAACUAUUUUCUUUGUAUUUAUUAUAUGAUUUAAAAAACCUUGUUACGUGGACUGCUUUAAGCUAACUGAGACUUGUUAUAGCACUUGCAUAUCAUUGCUCUUUUGUUGUUUUUGAUUGCUUCCAUUGUCCUCAUUUGUAAGUCGCUUUGGAUAAAAGUGUCUGCUAAAUGUAAAUGUAAUAUAUAUUUGUAUGUGCAUGCAUAUAAAACAUUUAAUUUUUUCAUGUGAAAGUAUGUAUGUCCUAUGCAGACAUUUAAUGCUUUAGGUCAAUAAUUUAAAGGUUUAUGUAUUACACUGGUGAUCUAAAACAUAUUACAUACUUAUUUAUGAUUACAUGAAAUUACAUUCUAGAUUAUCAACAUGCCUGAAAAAACACUCCUUCUGAUCAACCCAAUGGAAAAUGAAGGUUCUUAUGAACGUAAAAUUCUGCGGAACUGGAGGUAACAUUGUUAGAACUGUUUCAUCUUUGUUUAAAUUUUUUGAUGCUAUUCAAUUCUAAACAUUGCUACCAAAUCUAGGAUUUAUUUUUUUAAACUGAGAAGGUGUGAUGAGGAAACAGCCCAGUGGCAAUUACAGACCCUAAAACACAACCCACAUGGAUUCUAGCAGUUGU